rnacentral:lncRNA from 1 species
CCAGACUUGAGCUGGGUUGGCUUGUGGAGAGGAGCCCACCAGAGUCCGAAUCUUAGAUCCUUGAGAGUCGUCACUGGGGAUCCAGCACUGUUAGAAAUGGUGGCUUUGGACGAGUGGUGAUGGCGCACGCCUUUAAUACCAGCACUCGGGCAGCAGUGUCAGGUGGAUCUAUGUGAGUUCAAGGACCAGCCUGGUCUACAAGAGCUAGUUCCAGGACGGCCUCCAAAGCCACAGAGAAACCCUGUCUCGAAAAACCAAGAAAAAAAAAGAAAGAAAGAAAUGAUGGCUUUGGCUGGAGAGGUGGACAACCUGGUAGUUGCUCAGUCCACAAGGCUGGUUCCUCAGCAUCCCCUAUCAGGUGCCUAGAAGGUUCCUGGAGAGCUUCUGGUCCUUAGUCCACAAUGAAA